rnacentral:rRNA from 1 species
UACGUAGGGUGCGAGCGUUGUCCGGAAUUACUGGGCGUAAAGAGCUCGUAGGUGGUUUGUCGCGUUGUUCGUGAAAACUCACAGCUCAACUGUGGGCGUGCGGGCGAUACGGGCAGACUAGAGUACUGCAGGGGAGACUGGAAUUCCUGGUGUAGCGGUGAAAUGCGCAGAUAUCAGGAGGAACACCGGUGGCGAAGGCGGGUCUCUGGGCCGAUACUGACGCUGAGGAGCGAAAGCGUGGGGAGCGAACGGG